rnacentral:misc_RNA from 1 species
UCCGAGUUGACCCCGGCAGUCUCCUGUGAGUCCCACCACCCCGAAAGGCGUGCUGGCAACACAGGACAAGGGUUGCGCUCGUUGCGGGACUUAACCCAACAUCUCACGACACGAGCUGACGACAGCCAUGCAGCAUCUGUGUGGCACCCUCGAAGGUCACACGUUUCCGUGCGCUUGCAGCCACAUGUCAAGCCCAGGUAAGGUUCUUCGCGUUGCAUCGAAUUAAACCACAUGCUCCACCGCUUGUGCAGGCUCCCGUCAAUUUCUUUGAGUUUUAACCUUGCGGCCGUACUCCCCAGGCGGAGAACUUAAUGCGUUAGCUGCGCCACCGAAACCCUAAGGGCCCCGACAGCUAGUUCUCAUCGUUUACGGCGUGGACUAC